rnacentral:rRNA from 1 species
CCUCGACUUCGGAAGGGGUGUAUUUAUUAGAUAAAAAACCAAUGCCCUUCGGGGCUCCUUGGUGAUUCAUAAUAACUUAACGAAUCGCAUGGCCUUGCGCCGGCGAUGGUUCAUUCAAAUUUCUGCCCUAUCAACUUUCGAUGGUAAGAUAGUGGCUUACCAUGGUCUCAACGGGUAACGGGGAAUUAGGGUUCUAUUCCGGAGAGGGAGCCUGAGAAACGGCUACCACAUCCAAGGAAGGCAGCAGGCGCGCAAAUUACCCAAUCCCAAUUCGGGGAGGUAGUGACAAUAAAUACUGAUACGGGGCUCUUUCGGGUCUCGUAAUUGGAAUGAGUACAAUCUAAAUCCCUUAACGAGGAACAAUUGGAGGGCAAGUCUGGUGCCAGCAGCCGCGGUAAUUCCAGCUCCAAUAGCGUAUAUUAAAGUUGUUGCCGUUAAAAAGCUCGUAGUUGAACCUUGGACCUGGCUGAUCUGUCCUCCUAAUCGAGCGCACGGAUUCGGUCGGGUCUUUCCUUCUGGGGAGCCCUAUGCCCUUCACUGGGUGUAGUGGGGAACCAGGACUUUUACCUUGAAAAAAUUAGAGUGUUCAAAGCAGGCCUUUGCUCGAAUACAUUAGCAUGGAAUAAUAGAAUAGGACAUCGGUUCUAUUUUGUUGGUUUCUAGGACCGCUGUAAUGAUUAAUAGGGAUAGUCGGGGGCGUCAGUAUUCAAUUGUCAGAGGUGAAAUUCUUGGAUUUAUUGAAGACUAACUACUGCGAAAGCAUUCGCCAAGGAUGUUUUCAUUAAUCAGUGAACGAAAGUUAGGGGAUCGAAGACGAUCAGAUACCGUCGUAGUCUUAACCAUAAACUAUGCCGACUAGGGAUCGGACGGUGGUUUUUUUAUGCCCCGUUCGGCACCUUACGAGAAAUCAAAGUUU